CUAGAUAACCUUUUUAAGCCAAGGGAGAGGUCUAUAUCAGGCAGAGAGAUGCAUCUGAGGUCCAGACGGAUUUACAACAAGCUGCCGGAGGUGACAAAGAAGAAGGAGGAGGAGAAAAAGAGGGCCAUAUCUCAAACCAACAGACUGCGAGCAGAGGUCUUCAAAAAGAGACUUCUGGAACAGAUCCUGCAAAGAUGAAAGCGACACCAUCAGAAACCACCUUGUAAUAAAAACUGCCUCCAUGUGCAUUCCACUCUUGGGUUAUGUCUCCUAACUUUCCACUCUUUAUAUUGUUAUAAACAGUGAAACUUGAUUUUUUUUUUCUCAUGUUGUUCCCAAAUUCUCUCUUUCCAGUUAGAGACUGCCAUGGUGUGAAAAGUAUAUCUGCUUCUCAUAUCUGUAUACAAAGGUGAAAGGUUAAAAAAAAAAAUCUACAGUAGUUAGUGUACUUUGGGAAGUGGACCACUGGAGGUACUCUGACUAUAAACCAAAUUAAUGCUGUUAUAUUUACCGUGUUAGUGAGCUCCAGUCUAUAAAGAGCACAGUGACGAUGUGUGUUUCCUUUAGGCUAUUUCUAAAUACAGGAAGAAUUCAUCAAUACUAUCUAUAUUUAAAAAUGACACUGAAUAGGUAGCUUAAAAAGAAAAAUUAUUGUUUAACUUUUAAUAUAUUUUAAUAUUUUUGCACAGUUAUGAAUAACUGUAGCUUUUCUAUUAUACAUAACAGUAGCUCUGACUGACACUUUGAUCAUGUCCUACGUUGUAGUUUAAAUAUUUGUUUUAUUGCUAUAAUACAAUGAAACCAAAACUUUUUAACACAAGGUUAUCCUAGCAUACAGUCUAAAGUUUUUUUUUCUUCAAAAAAUGUCUGUCACAGUUUGAUAGAUGCCAACUGAAAACAAAUACUAACUAAAACAAUUCCUGUGAAAUGGCUGCAACAGAAAAAGAGCUUUAAAAGAAGAUAAAAUCUAACCAUAUAUCAUAGUUUAAUUCUUAAUAUAAAGGCAUUUUAAACAGCAACAGUAAAUGUGCAACUAUAAUACAGAAUUAAGGCUUUGAUUUGAAAAUAUUUAUUAAAUGGUAUAUUACCAAAGUGGAUCAUCACAAAAGUGUGUCUACAAUUAAACUAUUAACACAUGAUGAGGUAAAUACUUGUUUUUAAUGUUAAAUUAUCAAAUCUAGUAACACCAUCUGCAGGUAAUUUAAUUAGUGUUUCAAGUUAUUUUUAAUCCGUUUUAUGGUUUCAAAAAGUGAUUUGCUUCAGGUAAAAAUAUUCUCCGAGCUGAGCAACCUCACGUACUUUUUGGGACAGUUUUGUCCUUGCAGCGAGGGAGCAAGACCAUGUUUCAGUGUUGGCUUCACGUCUGCCUCAAGGCCACUGAAAUCCCCGAUCUGGAACGGUAGAGUUUCAAGCUAAUCAAACUCAUGAGACACAUGGUGCCUGUGAAAAAAGGUCCUCUGUCAUGGAGCCCCAAACCAGAGAUGACUAAAUUAUAACAGAGGAGGCUCCUAAAGUGCAGCCACGGACCUUUUUAUGCAUAUAGUCUGUAAAGGUGACAGAGAAGUCUCUGGCAUUUUAAAUACAGUAGCACAAGCUGGGACAAGGCAAGAGUUAACAAAGAAAACCUUUAAACAUCCAACUUUGAAUGUGUAUGUAUGUGAAUCACAUACAGCAUUUACAGCAUGUGAAUAAUACUCAAUAAAUAAAUCUGUAUUACACAAAAACUUUUUUUCCUAAGGAUAUUUAUUGAUAAUGUUUAGGUACUGCAAAGAAUAUUUUCUGUUUACAUCUCCCCUGCCUGUGUUACUAAGAAAUCUUUUAGGAAUGACUCCACAUUGGAUAGCAAUUUUCCUGCUGCCAUGUCGGCAGGUUUCAGAAGUUGAGCACUAACUGACAAGAGCUAUAUUUGAGGAGACAGGCUAUUGUCAGUCAACUUCUCUCUCUCUGAGGAAUCAUGUGUCUGGAUGUCACAUUAAUGUCUCUGCAUAAUGUGGACUCUGCCCUUAGGUCCCUCCACAGGCUAGAAUGACUCAGCUACCCUCAGGUUAUCUCGCUGUGGAAGCUUUUAAAAAGAAGAUAAAAUUGGCAAAAAGACCGAAACAUCCAAACACUGAGCCUCAGCUUUCUUGAUUUAUGGCAAAUAAAUUGAAUAUUUUCUAAGAAAGCUUUCAGUGAAUGAAAAGUUCAGUUUAAAGUUUGCCAUGAGCUAUAUUGGGAAGAAACGUGAGCAAGAUCGGAACAUUCCUGUCCAAUCUUCGGAUUAAAAAAACUGCAUCACAUUAGGUAAACUCUUACUAAACAACUCUUUGGACAUAGCAAUGCUCCAAAGCAGCUAUAAACCUGUUUGUUUUAAGGCAUAUGUGUGUGUUAGAAUGCCCCAGUUAAAGCAAAUACCUAAAUAUGAUUGAAAAAAUAUGGAAAGUCCUGAAGAGAUCACAAACAACAUCCAAUUUGGCUGAAAUUGACUGAGAAAUGGAGGCUGCAGAGGGACAUCUGUGGCUCCUUAUAUUUGCCCCUUAGUGUACAAAUUAAGUAAGAUUAAGCUGAACCAUUUCAGUUAGCAAACAUAAGACAUAGAUGAGAUCUAAAUAAAGAGAACAUCCCUAAAAACCUCCCUGGAGGCUAUACAGUGACACAAUUCACACAAUUCACAUAACUAUAGUUCUGUUAGUUUUUUCUAACAAAAAGUUAAAGAGGUAAUUGGAGGAAAAAUCUCUCGCUGCAGAAAAACACUUAUGUAAUACAUCACUUUAAGGAGUUUGAUUUCAUUCUAUACAAGCUAUUCCAAUAUUUAAUUGAAAAAUACUUCUGAAACAGUAGCAAUUGCAAAUGUCUUCCUAAUUAUUUUAUUGAUUUAUUAUUGAUACUUGAAAACCUGUCCAUAAAACUGGAAUGGGGGAGUUUAUGAACCAGUCGUUUCUACAUUGGACUUGUAAGAUAAAACACUAGAAAGGAGUUUGGGAACAACAUGAAACAAAGGGUCUAUAUCCUUGUUGAUUCAUGUGUAAAAACAAUUAUCAUUAGCACAUUAAGAAAUGCCCUCCCUUUAUUUCAUAUCUAAUUGUCUUCCAUCCAUGGUUUAAAAAAAAACCCAGAUGUGUCUCUGUAAUAUGUUCCAUUAGGACUUUAGCUGAAAUAAUAGCAACAAGCAUUAAAUCUGUAUCUCCAAAUCUCAUUACUUCUACCCAUCCAUUGUCUAUACCCACUUUCCAUUAACAGAUCACAAGCUUUUCUCGGAAAACUGGAUUUAUGACAUCAAAGCCCCUGAGACGAUGAGAUAAACUGCACUAGUCUAAUUUCUUAAUGUACUUUUUCUUAAUACAUAUAUAUGAGCAUCUGUUGUUUCAGUGCAACAUGUCAACAAUAAAGUUGAAAAUAUUUUAGACA